GUGCUUGCUCCGGCAGCACAUAUGCUGAAAUUGGAACAAUACAGAGAAAAUUAGCAUGGCCCCUGUGCAAGCUGACACACAAAUUCAUGCAGCGUUCCAUACUUUU